rnacentral:rRNA from 1 species
UGGGGAAUAUUGCGCAAUGGGGGGAACCCUGACGCAGCCAUGCCGCGUGAAUGAAGAAGGCCUUCGGGUUGUAAAGUUCUUUCGGUAUUGAGGAAGGAGUGUAUGUUAAUAGCAUACAUUAUUGACGUUAAAUACAGAAGAAGCACCGGCUAACUCCGUGCCAGCAGCCGCGGUAAUACGGAGGGUGCGAGCGUUAAUCGGAAUAACUGGGCGUAAAGGGCACGCAGGCGGUUAUUUAAGUGAGGUGUGAAAGCCCCGGGCUUAACCUGGGAAUUGCAUUUCAGACUGGGUAACUAGAGUACUUUAGGGAGGGGUAGAAUUCCACGUGUAGCGGUGAAAUGCGUAGAGAUGUGGAGGAAUACCGAAGGCGAAGGCAGCCCCUUGGGAAUGUACUGACGCUCAUGUGCGAAAGCGUGGGGAGCAAACAGGAUUAGAUACCCUGGUA